GCCGGGGUAGCUCAGUGGCAGAGCAGGCGCCUUGUAAGCGUCAGGUCGUGAGUUCAAAUCUCACCCUCGGCU
rnacentral:tRNA from 1 species